CGUGUGGCCGGUGUUUGGAGUUUCUGAAAGACGCGGACCAGACGGAAACACCGGACAUACUGCAUCAUUGCGUUCAGUAUUUCAACGAGGGCCAUUCCUACGAUGUAAUUGUGGACAUGAUGUCAAGCCUACACGGUGUAAACAUCAGCUUGAGGACUCUUAAAAGUAAACUGAACGAAGCCGGGUUGUACCGCCGAAAGGAUUAUUCCUCUCCAAACACCGUGAGUAACGCCAUCAGAUUGGAACUUCGUGGACCUGGACAACUAUUUGGCUACCGCACGAUGUGGCAGGUCUCAGUUCUGGAUGGAGUUAUUUACGGACCUUAGAGAUGCCGGAUACUUUAACGGGAGUCAUGAGCAUCAGUGUCUCUUGAGAUACUGCUUCGGUGAGGUUAUUCAGAAGGACUUAGAUGAGUGUGUGAGACUGUGGAACAGUCACAGGAUUCGCCCUUCCAGAACAGCAGCAUGUCCAGGAGGAGUGCCCAAUGAACUCUACUACUUACCACACAGGUUUGGUUCCAGAGACUGUGCAUUUCCAAUUCAACAGGCUGAAUUGGAUGCCCUUCCUGAGGCUAGCCUGUUCAUUACUCCUUGUGGGGACCCAAACAUGCAGGAGUACUUGGACUUUGCCAUGGACCACAAUCAGUUACUGAAGCCAGAAAACUGGGAGUCUGCAUCAGAACUGUACAUGAUUCUAAAAGAAAUGGCUCGGCUAUGAAAGGAUCAAAAAGGGAGUUUUUAUUGUAGUGGUGGAACACUGUCUGAACACAAUGUUUACGAAUCUGUCACCCACAGCUUUGCUGUUUAAGUGUAAAGUAAAUUAAUCAAAAAUAGUAAUGUUUAUUAAAAUUUUGUAGUAAAGAACAACUUCUUUAAGUACUUCUUUAUCUAAA